rnacentral:rRNA from 1 species
GACGAACGCUGGCGGCGUGCUUAACACAUGCAAGUCGAACGGUGAAGCGCCUUCCUUUUUGGUGGGUGUGGAUGAGUGGCGAACGGGUGAGUAACACGUGAGUAACCUGCCCCCUUCUUCUGGAUAACCGCAUGAAAGUGUGGCUAAUACGGGAUAUUCUGGGUCUGUCGCAUGAUGGGUCUGGGAAAGAUAUUGUUUCGGUGGGGGGUGGGCUCGCGGCCUAUCAGCUUGUUGGUGGGGUGAUGGCCUACCAAGGCGGUGACGGGUAGCCGGCCUGAGAGGGUGGACGGUCACACUGGGACUGAGACACGGCCCAGACUCCGACGGGAGGCAGCAGUGGGGAAUAUUGCACAAUGGGCGCAAGCCUGAUGCAGCGACGCCGCGUGAGGGAUGGAGGCCUUCGGGUUGUGAACCUCUUUCGCCAGUGAAGCAGGCCUGCCUCGUUUGUGGGUGGGUUGACGGUAGCUGGAGAAGAAGCGCCGGCUAACUACGUG